UUACAGGCUGAUUAAACUUGAUGGGUUCUGGAGAUGCCGAGGAAGAGAGGCAGCAUCACCUACUUGCCUGGACUCUAGAUGGGCAGCUGAUCAUCUUGGACAGACUGCUGGAUGCUGUACCCAGGGUGGUCACUCCCAGACACCAUAGAAAAUGAUGAGGAAACUGAGCUUCGAGAAGGGAGAGUAACUAGUCCUGAGUCACACAGUUGGUGAAAUGUGGAGCUGUCUUGAAAGUUCAUGGGUUCACCUACUGCACUGCUUGAAGAAUAUUUCGGUGUAUUACAAAUCUGUUCAGAAGCAGAACAGAGAAAACAAAAAUCUCCAACAGCGUACACAGCUUAUUUGCUAGCAAUGUACAUGCACAUCAAGUGCUUAACACAGUGCCUGACAUGAUAAAGUGUAGCCAAAAGACAAACAAACCUGCUUAACUGAAGAUGAUCAGUUAGGAUACAGGGAGGUGUUUUAAACAAAUGGCAGACAAACUGAGAAAUCUGCACUUCAAGUCCAACUCAUCCUGAGAAAUGCCAGAAUUUUAGCAACAAAACAAACCCGCAAGUCUUCUUCGUUCUUGAGAGUCAUGCCGUUUUCCUCCAAACAAGGACGAAAGGCUCUUUGCUUGUGGAGUGUCUCAGUCUAGCAGUAGAUUGGAAAAAUGUCCAAGCAGGGGACUCGAGUUCUCUCCCGGAUGAGUUCAUUUCAAUAGUCACUGUGUUUCAUCGGAUGCAGCUGGUUACAUUUUUAAUAGGCAGAUGGCUAAUUUUACAGUUCCAAGCCAAUCUCUCAUUGGACAACAUCCAGAAAGCCCGUGGUAGGGUGAUGCCCAGCAGAAAGUUCAACAGGACACUUGGGGGGAACAUAUGCUAAUGUCAGCCCUUUUACUUAAAUGUCUUUAAAAAGAAUAUUCAGUGCUAAGCUGAGGGAUUUUCACAGACUCAAGCCUAACACCAGAUGGGUGGCCAGCUAUGAAGUCCUUAGGGCCUGAGCAAAUGCUCUUAAUCUGGCUUGGAUGGUCGGAGAAUCAAAUAGCACCAAACCAGUAAUCUCUGAGUGAUUUUUAAAAAUGACAAAGGUGUAUGCACUUGCAGAAAUGACCAGGCUAACUAGAGAAGCGAGUUUCUCUUAAUAGAAGUCCAUGGCGUUACUAAAGCCCUGUGGUCCUAUGAUUACCUCGGCAUCCCGACCUCCGUUUUGGGUGCCCCUCCCCAUCUGACCUUUAUGGAGUUACAGGAAUGAAUGUCCGUUUACCUCCCCCCAGGUGACAGCCCCUCGCCUCCAGGGUCAGAGAGGGCGGAAUGUCUGUUGCAGUUAAGCAUCCUUAUUUUUAAACUGUUUGGAAAUCUCUCUCUCCAAGGAGAUGGCUAUUUAGACAUCUUAAUUAAAAGGGAAUUUGGAAAUAUCUCCCGUUUUGCAGCGCAUGUAAUCAAGCAUUUCUUUUUCUCUGCAGAAGGACUUUGGUUGCCUCUUCACAAAAGGCUUUGAAAUGUCCUAAAACAAUCCCCCGCAGCUCGGGGUGGGGGUAGGGACGAGAGAGAGAGAGAGAGAGAGAGAGAGAGAGAGAGAGAGAGAGAGAGAGAGAAAACCAAAGCAAAAAACAACAAACAUUUUCUGGGAGGUGAUAAAAGUCUUGGAUGCAAAGUAUCCUUAUUUUAUCCCAUGUGAUGAAUUGCCAUAGGGUGGCUGGAAAACUCUUUAAGAACCCCAAGGGCAAAUGCCGUUGUUUAAAUGAGGCAAAUGUUGUUUACCUCUAAGCAAAAUAAAAGCUAAGGAUCAGAAGAAAGAGGGGAUCAAAAGAUCUUUCUCCAAACAGAUUUAUAAAAGAGAGUGAUUUUUAAAUGAUUUCAACUCCUACUUUAUAAAAAUAUUUUAUGAGGCACUUUUCUGAAAAUAACAUGCUUCUGAAGAGUUUUCCUCCCCAAAUCGCUUCCUGAAAAUGGUGGCAUUACUUUCAUGCAGUACAAUUGCCUACACAAGACCUUAUUUAAAACAAUGCAAAAGAAAUUUGACAAAGCUAGUAACUCUGCACAAGGAAACUGGGCAUUUUUUUUUUUUUUUUUUUUUUUUUGCCGGGAAAAUAACCUUCAAACCUCAAACUAAAUCUGUAACUGCUUCUAUCAAAUUUUUCUUUCAAGAACCUGGAAAGCGGUUCAUUUUGUUUUAUCGAGCAGAUUGUGAAAAGAGUUUUCUUGCAGAGUUUUUGUUUUAUAAUCAAAAUAAUUCGAGGGAAGUGACACGACUUUUCUUUUGAGAUUUUUUUUUUUUUCUGGACAAAAUCUAAUAGAGGGAGAGAGAGAAAAAAAUCUAACCAAAGCCAAGACUUGCAGACAAAAGUUACACACAAUCAGAAAACCCUCAAAGAUAGGUAUAAAUUAUUCUGUCACUAAAUUAAAGUAUUGGUAGAAGAAAAGUCUUAAAAAUGUAAAAUGAGUACUAGCCAAAUACCUUCACAGUUAAUGGAAUUAUGGAAACUUCUCUCUGGUGUGAAUACCCCCAAACACAUUUUAGAUUUAUUUUUAAAGUGUAGUUUAAAGAAACUUUAUACCAUUUAAAAAAAAAAAUAACUUUGAAAGGAAAAGAGCCAAAAGAAAAGCAGAAAUUAGGGCAGUUUUUAAACUACAAGCCAACUGUUUGCUCUACUUUGCUUUAUUUAUUAGUUCUCAAGGUAUUUAAAACUUGAGCAUUAAAACUGCAGAAUAAUUUGCAAAUGAAUGCAGUUGCAGUUGUGAAAAUAUAACUCACAGCUGAAUGUGGGUUAUUCAGACAAAUGGCUGCUUUGUUCGAGGAGGGGAAGUAAAGUUCUGUGUUAAUUUAUUACAAACUGCAGCAUUUCAUCCCUGAUGUCCAGGCAACAAUGUUUUUUAUUUCAAGUAAUUUAUAAGCACUUCCCAGAGCACUUAGCGGUGAUGUCCUUGGCUGUUUUGCUCCCAGAGACGGAGUGUAUAUGUAUUUACUGUGGGAAUUUGUUUUUAAUAAAACUGUUGUAAGGC
ensembl:lncRNA novel transcript